rnacentral:rRNA from 1 species
AUACGGAAGGUCCGGGCGUUAUCCGGAUUUAUUGGGUUUAAAGGGAGCGCAGGCGGAGAUGCAAGCGUGACGUCAAAUUUCGGGGCUCAACCCCGUCUCGCGUCGCGAACUGCGUCCCUUGGUUGCGGGAAGGGGAGGCGGAACUCGUGGUGUAGCGGGGAAAUGCAUAGAUAUCACGAAGAACUCCGAUCGCGAAGGCAGCCUUCCGGCCCGUCAACGACGCUCAUGCUCGAAGGUGCGGGUAUCAAACAGGAUUAGAUACCCUGGUAGUCCGCACAGUAAACGAUGGACACCCGCGGUUUGGCCUAUAUGGCUGAGCCGCCAAGCGAAAGCGUUAAGUGUCCCACCUGUGGAGUACGCCGGCAACGGUGAAACUCAAAGGAAUUGACGGGG